CUAUUUUUAGAACAUGAUCUCACCGAAAAUGAUAGUUCUAAAGAUCUUAAAUAAUCAGAAAAUAGAAAUUGCUAUUACAUAAACACUAUAAAUUCUUCACAUUGAAAUGCAUCUAUCUUUCUUUUCUGAAGAUUGAAAUGUUACAAAACUAGAAAUCUCCAUAUCUAUUUUCGGGGAUUGCUCUAAAAAAAAUGCACAAUUUUUCCAU
rnacentral:lncRNA from 1 species